rnacentral:lncRNA from 1 species
AUGCCGAGUCCCCCCGCGGCGGGGGGUUUUCGAGCGAGAGAGGAAUGCUGCUCGAAGUGCUUGACCACGAUCCCGCCGCCCCGGCGCGGUCGUGCCCCCGCCGCUGCAUGUGCGGGCUUCGGGGGGAGGUGGCGAAAAGGGGAAGAGACCCGGCGUCGUCGCCGGGCCCCACCCUCUCCGUGUGGGCGGUUGGGGCCCCGGGUACCCGGUUCCCCGCCUUCGGUCGUCAGGGUCCCGGCUCCCAUGGGGAGGAAAGGGUCGGUGAUUCCCUCGGCCGGAGCGGCGGGGCGGGAGCUUAAGGCGGCGGUGCCUCUCCUCCCCUUUGCCCCCUUCCUCCGCUCCGCCUCAGCCCGCGGUCGGGUGUCUUUUAGGUUCUCCGGGUCCGUGCUCGCCGACGCGGCCGAACCGCCUCGUCCCCACCGGUGGGGCGGGGUCGGCGGUGCCGAGGCCCCUGCCCCGGCGGCUCGAGAGGGGUCCCCUCGACGUGUGGGCCAGCGAGGGCCCCGGCGGUCAGGCGCCGGGGUCGGUCCCGCUCGCUCGAGUGAGCGUCUUCCCUCCGAGAUGGGGAAUUGGGGUUGGCGUGACCGGCCGGGUGUGCCUUGGUCGCUCGUCCCGACCGCCCCGAGGGGCUGGGGCGAAAACUCCCACGCUCCUCUCCGCUGUGCGGUCCUAGCCCGCCGUUGGGGCGUGGGAGGCCUUUCCGCCCCCAUCCUGUCCCGGGUACCUAGCGCGUUCUGGCGCGGAGGUUUAAAGAUUCGGGGGUUGCCCUCCGCUCUCCAGCGGGGUCGGUUCUGUUUUCCCCCCUUCCCCGUCCGCCCUCUUCCGACGGUCUCGGGCCCCUCCUCUUGCCGCGUGCCCCGUCCGCGGGUCUCGCGGCUAGAGGUCGGGGGUUUGGUGCCCCCGAGACGGGAAGGGCGGGUCUGGGUGGGGGGGUCUUGGGACGGCCGCCCCCUGGGUUUGCCGGACGGGCCAGUGGGAAGAGGAGAUGCCUGGCUCCGACUUCUCCCGUUCUCCGGUGUGGUGCUGGGUUCGGGUCCUGGUCGUGGGGGACCGCCCGCCCGCCCUCGGUGA